UACAGAGGGUGCAAGCGUUAAUCGGAAUUACUGGGCGUAAAGCGUGCGUAGACGGUUAUUUAAGUCAGGUGUGAAAGCCCCGGGCUCAACCUGGGAAUUGCAUUUGAGACUGAAUGGCUAGGGUGCGGAAGAGGGAAGCGGAAUUUCCGGUGUAGCGGUGAAAUGCGUAGAUAUCGGAAGGAACACCAGUGGCGAAAGCGGCUUCCUGGACCAGUACCGACGUUCAGGCACGAAAGCGUGGGGAGCAAACAGG
rnacentral:rRNA from 1 species